rnacentral:lncRNA from 1 species
GAUGAAAAAUAAUGGUGCCAUUUAUCAAAAUGGUGAAAGACAGUGCAAGAUUGAUGGUCGGUGAACUUUGAAAGAUGGUGCAGUGAUAUGGAGGGACGCAGUUCAGCUCAAUGUAAACGUAGGCAUUUCCAUUGAACUUAAUGGACAAAAGGAUUUGGAUUUUUCAAUUUUAACAAGCAAGAAUUAAAACCUUUAAUUUGUAGGAUCAAAGAAACAGACUGGUCCACAAAGGCACAAUGGACCACAAGGCAAUCCCACUUUUUUUUUUAAUUAAAAAAUAAUAAUUUGUAGAAAAAACUUUUGGGUUUUGGGUUUUGCUUUGGGUUUUUAAUUUGUGAAACGAUACCCUACAAUUCAAAACCUUCAGAGAGAGAAUUGGGGAACCAGAGUAAGGGAAUUCGUGGUAGGAUAAGAGAGGCCAUGCAACUGCAUUGGGAACCCGCAUUUGGGUUAGUGCUUCAUCAGUUCCAGUAGAUGCCUUUUGCGGCCUCGCAUAUUAGCAGAGAGUGAGAGGAAGGGAAGUAGAGAGAGAAAUAAGACAGAGAGAGAGAGAGGAAGGAAAGUAGAGAGAGAGACUGAUUUCCUGUGAAGGAAACAGAGAGGUUUGAGCGAGGGACAGUACUGAGAGAGAAACAGAAGGCCGACGAUGAUGAUAAAUUUGUCACUCCUGCAAGAAAAUGAAACGAAUUUUCGCUCUUCUCUUUUCUCCAGAUUACUUGAGAGGCUUGAAAUAGGAUUUUCUCUUCUUUUAUGCAGAAACCAUGAGAAGAUUGAAAAUGGGUUUUCUCUCUCUUCUCCUAAGGACUAAGAAACUGUGGCUCCAACCUUAUGAAGAGUUGUAGCAAGACUUUCAAUUCUUAUCAUGCCCUUAACGGCCACAAUCAAGCGAUUCACAGUGCAUCCAGGAGAAGAAAUGCUCUUUAGGAGAAAACAAGAAGAGAAGGUCAGAGAGAGUCUCCUACCAAAAACCAGAGACAUUCUCAGCUCUCACCCUAAAAUAAAGAGAUGAGUUUGAAGGGUCGCACAAGAGAGAGAAAAACAGAGGCUUACAGAUAAACCUGGGCAAUGUUCAGUGUAUCUCAAGAACGAGAAUUUCAGGAGCAAAUCUUUGUCUUAUCC